CCUACGGGUGGCAGCAGUGAGGAAUAUUGGUCAAUGGGCGCGAGCCUGAACCAGCCAAGUAGCGUGAAGGAUGACUGCCCUACGGGUUGUAAACUUCUUUUAUAAAGGAAUAAAGUGAGCCACGUGUGCCUUUUUGUAUGUACUUUAUGAAUAAGGAUCGGCUAACUCCGUGCCAGCAGCCGCGGUAAUACGGAGGAUCCGAGCGUUAUCCGGAUUUAUUGGGUUUAAAGGGAGCGUAGGUGGGUUGUUAAGUCAGUUGUGAAAGUUUGCGGCUCAACCGUAAAAUUGCAGUUGAUACUGGCAGCCUUGAGUACAGUAGAGGUGGGCGGAAUUCGUGGUGUAGCGGUGAAAUGCUUAGAUAUCACGAAGAACUCCGAUGGCGAAGGCAGCUUACUGGACUGCAACUGACAUUGAGGCUCGAAAGUGUGGGUAUCAAACAGGAUUAGAUACCCGUGUAGUC
rnacentral:rRNA from 1 species